AACGAACGCUGGCGGCAUGCCUAACACAUGCAAGUCGAACGAGAUCUUCGGGUCUAGUGGCGCACGGGUGCGUAACGCGUGGGAAUCUGCCCUUUGGUUCGGAAUAACAGUUGGAAACGACUGCUAAUACCGGAUGAUGACGAAAGUCCAAGGAUUUAUCGCCAGAGGGAUGAGCCCGCGUAGGAUUAGCUAGUUGGUGUGGUAAAGGCGCACCAAGGCGACGAUCCUUAGCUGGUCUGAGAGGAUGAUCAGCCACACUGGGACUGAGACACGGCCCAGACUCCUACGGGAGGCAGCAGUGGGGAAUAUUGGACAAUGGGCGAAAGCCUGAUCCAGCAAUGCCGCGUGAGUGAUGAAGGCCUUAGGGUUGUAAAGCUCUUUUACCCGGGAUGAUAAUGACAGUACCGGGAGAAUAAGCUCCGGCUAACUCCGUGCCAGCCGCCGCCGUAA
rnacentral:rRNA from 1 species